UACGGAGGGGGCUAGCGUUGUUCGGAAUUACUGGGCGUAAAGCGCACGUAGGCGGCUUUGUAAGUUAGAGGUGAAAGCCCGGGGCUCAACUCCGGAAUUGCCUUUAAGACUGCAUCGCUAGAAUUGUGGAGAGGUAAGUGAAAUUCCGAGUGUAGAGGUGAAAUUCGUAGAUAUUCGGAAGAACACCAGUGGCGAAGGCGACUUACUGGACACAUAUUGACGCUGAGGUGCGAAAGCGUGGGGAGCAAACAGG
rnacentral:rRNA from 1 species